rnacentral:lncRNA from 1 species
GUUCUAACUCACUCUCUAACUCUAUGCGGCGCUGGGUGUCAGAAAGUAAUGGAACCUCCGCCGACAACGAAGGCGAGCCCCUCCGCUCACCCUGGUGGGAGCUUUCGCCUUCGAGCGGGUACGAAAAAAGGCCAAAAUUCUCAGAGGGGCCGGGAGGUGUAGGUGUACCAGGACCUCCAGCCAUUCCCCCCGGAUAGAAUUGAGCAACCGCCCGGGAUAGGUCCUCCAUAAAGACAUAUCCCAGUUUGACGGCUACGCUCGCCAGAAGAAGAGAAAAGAGCGCUCUCCCAAUACAAAAUACAACGCUUUGAACUCUUGUCGGAAUCUUCCUAAACCCGGGUAUCCGACAUAAGAACCGUAAAAUAGUCUUAUUGUCGAAAAAGCAAGAAUCAGAGACACGGAACCAAAGAUCACAGAAAAUAAGUUCAUGAGACGAGGCAUUUGAGUCAUUUUUGCUUUGUAUUUCUUAGUUUUUGUUUCGAAAUAAACAUAGAUUUAUCCCACGAGGGAAAGGACGAUUUCCACAUGAAGGACCCGCUACUUAGAACGGGACAUGAUGGAGAGCCCUGAACGGAACGAGACCCACUGAACACCAACCCAAUCUCGAUGAAAAAAAGAGAAUAAAAAGACCGCCGAGAAAGCUUUUUUUUUGUACUCAACUCGGCCUCGAAUCAAAAGUCUUUCUCCUUUCGCUACGAUCUUUCUUCUCUUAUGAAAUUUCGAGAUCAAAAGAGCGCUCCUAAAAGCAGCCUUUCUCUUAUCCGCCAAAGGCUCUUAUUAUUAUUUUUUUAGAAUAAAUAUAGGAAGGAGAUCUUACUUCUUCUAAGGAGAUGAGCUACCUAGCUGUAUAUGCGGGUCUCGAUAAUGGAAGAGAGAAGAGAGGAAAGAGACAGAGGAGUACGCGAAAAGAAAGAGGGAGAAGAGAGCUAUUCAAGGCUACUCAACUCGAUGGGGAAGGGCUUGCUUGUGGCGAGCGGCUGCCAGUGACUCGAGGUUCUGAAAGAAAGAACUCUCGGAUAAUUCAGCU